GACGGGGGGUCCUAGCGUUGUUCGGAAUUAUUGGGCGUAAAGCGUGUGCAGGUUGUUUGAAAAGUUGGAUGUGAAAUCCUUGGGCUUAACCCAAGACGUGCAUUCAAAACUGCCAAACUUGAGUAUGGAAGAGGAUCGUGGAAUUCCUAGUGUAGUGGUGAAAUACGUAGAUAUUAGGAGGAACACCGGUGGCGAAGGCGGCGAUCUGGUCCAAUACUGACACUCAUACACGAAAGCGUGGGGAUCAAACAGGG
rnacentral:rRNA from 1 species